GCCGAGGUAGCUCAAUUGGCAGAGCAAUCGCUUCGUAAGCGAUAGGUUGUGGGUUCAAAUCCCAUCCUCGGCU
rnacentral:tRNA from 1 species